UUGGUCUGACGCUCCACCUGGCCAGCCCUCUAGAAGUCACUCUCUUCCUCAUGAAGGAUGUGGGAGCUAAAGCAGUCUAGCAGUUGCUUCCCUAAUCUCAUGGCAUAAAAUAAUACCAAUCAGUGUUCCCCAUUUUUGGAAAGGCAUGGAGUAGGGUGGCAGUAGAAAAGUGAAGUUUAGAGUUUGUGAUUCCAUCUGAUGUUGCAGGAGGGAUUAUCCAAGAGGAAGUAAAUCUAUGACCAAUUUAGAGAUCUGGCCACAGCAACCUUGAACUUUUCUUCCACUUUGUAUCUGAAAAUCUAUAAGCUGAGACCAGAAAGAUGCAGGCGGCAUCUCCCACCCCUUUAGCUGAUCUUUAUCCACUCUAUUCCUUCUCUAUAGUUACAACUCCACAGGGAUCCCAGUCUUUUACUUUUCCCUUAGCACCAUUCACUAAGGAGAGAUUUGGAGUCUUUCAAGGUAGAAUUCUGAGGGGAACAAUAAUGGCACUGCAUAUUUUCAUUAAGAGGACUCCUCGCCUCAGAAUACCAGAAGUUAUGCUAUAACCAGGACAUAAUCUGAGAGUAAUGCCAUUGUGAAGUCCAUAAAUAUGAUAUCUAGGGUAAUGAGGACCUUCUAUGAAGUCACGUAAAAUCAAGGUUGGGCCAGGGCUUAAGCUUCCUGAAAGCCUGAGAGUCCUAGAUUACCGUGACUCAUUCAAAGGGUACUUAGAAGAUAGAAUUCUGCUCCUAGGAACUUGUACACUCCUGACACAGCAUCUCCUGGGAUCCAUUGCUGGAAAUCAUGAGUUCACCAGGUAAUUAUGGAAACUGGCCAGCCAGCUCUAGCAUUCCAAGACUAACCUUGUGCAAGCAGAAAGUCCACGGUUCCUAGAUGGCCUUCGGAAGCAGCCAUCAUCAGCGGAGUGCGGCCCUGCUUGUCUGCCAUGUUGACAUCCGCUCCAUGGGUGAGUAAAAGAUCAACAAUCUGCAAGUGCAGAGAAACAGGGACCAAUUAGCCCAAAGAAGAGCUGCUGAGAAGACACGUGCACACUAUCUCUUACUCUGUAGGAAUUCCUACUGCUGUACGAGUCACCCAUGUAUUUUUCCACUUCCCCCAUAAGUACCUGUAUAGUCCUAGUACCAUGUGAUUUAAUCUCUCUCUUAGGGACAGUCAAAUGAGAAGGAUUCAACUCUCAAUGUCUGACUCAGCUACUAGUAAAAAAGAACUUAACAAAGGCCAAGAUGUAGGAUUAAACAAUCCCAUAGCGGAAGUUCCAACAUAAAUCACUCCUUUAUUGCCCUCUAGUGGUUGCAAAUCUGCCUGUAGUUAAUACUUGCGACUGAACUGAACAUAAUCAAGUGACUCUGGUAACUCUUUAGGGCUGUUUGGCUUCUACAGCCUUUUUUCUAUUGAAAUACUUCUGAAGAUUAUUAUCAGUGUGCUUUCCUUUCCAUCCUAAGUGUAUAAAUUAACAUUUAUCCAGAAUCCAAACAUCUAAAAGGAUUGUGUUGUUAGAAUUUGCAUUCACUGUAUUUUCUUUUAGUAAGUCUCAGACAUCUGCAAGUAAGUGAUUAGCAGAAGUCCGCUGAGAAAUGAACCUUCCAAGGAGUCUUUGGAUGCUGUGAAAUGUGAGAAGGAGGUCACUCUAUCACCAGGACAUAAGUAGUUAGUCCUUCUAUACAAUCUGUAUCAAGUGAUGGUUUUGAAUGUUAACUGUUGUAUUCUCAAUUAACCAGAAUAUUCAUAACAAAGGUCCAAGUCCUCAAACCUGAUCACUGCUGGGUAACCCAAACUUUACUUGUGAUCAUUUUGCUCUGUGCAUCAGAAGUCCUCACCUAGAACUCAGUCCUGCCUGAGGGACUGGAAGUGGUCGCCCUGCUUACCUGCCAGUGGCCCUGGCGCACUGUGCUGAAUAGUGGCACUGCUCCUCGGCGGUUUGGCUGGGCCACUGCCGCCCCUUGUUCCAAGAGCAAACGGCACACCUCCAGUUUGCCCCUUCCGGCUGCAGCUGUUAGGGCUAAGGGCAGAGAACAAAGAUUGAGGAUAGGUGGUUCUGGUCCUCUCCAGCGCUCCAUGUUAAACGUGACAUAUCCUUGUGUUUCAUUAAUGUAAUUGCUACUUUACUUCUAAGAAUAAUGAUUUUUGCCACCUUUUCCAUAAAGAAAAGUUCUAAAGAAAAAUAAUGAAUAAAGACACAUUUAAAUUGCCUCACAAUAUUUGCAGACAAUAAUAAUAAAUCUAUAGAAAAUUCACCUUUAAUCAAACUCACUUGGUUUCAUUUUUCCUAACCAGACUGUCUUCUCUGCUUUGGUCUACCUCUCCUUUGGUACCUCUUCCUAGCUACAAACUCUGUUAGUCUACGUGUGGGUGCAAUCUAAAGACAAGAGUCUUUGCAGAGAUAAAAAGUUUUUUUUGUUUUGUUUUGUUUUAGAAUUAGCUGGGAACUACCUCCAGCCAAGCUCUACCCCUGGGCUCUUAAGCCUAGAGAACCAAAGUUAGGAAUUGCAGUCCAAGGUCUUGGGCCAGUUUUCAUUCUUUUUCUUCAUUAGUUGAUACAGAAGUUUCUGGUACAUUUGCAAUCAUUUUUAUUAUAAGGAUUUGAAUGAUUCAAGGUAGCAGUCUUAAAGAUGAGAGAAGAGGUAUGACAAAGACUAUUUUCUUCUGAAUAUAAAAUAAUGAAGUCACAGGUAAAAAUAGCUACAGUGAGUUUAAGAGACACAUUAGGAAAAAAACAGAAACAUUUUUCUUUUUGUGCCACUGUCCACUGACAAUAUGAUCUCUGAUACAAAGGAGAUUUUACGAACGCCUAUUUUGUCCUCAGAGUGUCAUUUCAACAGUAGAAAGAGGAGUUUGGAGAUAUGAAGUCUAUCUUUUAACAAAUAUGUAUUUGUUUCAUUUAACCAUGGGCUCUCAGGUGCACAAGUCUAUUGUUUUAAAAAAUGAGGGGUAUGGAGGAUGGAAACACUGUUAGAACAUGUAGGAGUUAUACUUCAUUUUAAAGAAAGAGGAUAAAGAUUUUUUUUUCCAAAUUGACUUAAAAAAUUGAUGUAGUAGUCAGCAGGUUCUUCUUUCAUUAUGGCCUCCUACUCCAGUAACAAACCAGAAAAUGAUAAUAUUUGGCAGGCACAGAUACUGCAGUUUGCAAACUUUAAAACGUAUUCAGAGAAGCAAGUAAAAUUUACAUCAAAUGGACAUUUGCAUUCAUUUCCACUUAAGUGCAAAUUAUGGCAUUUUGUCUCUGGACUUGGCCAAAUUUAUCCACUACUGAGUCAUAUGCAAAAUGAAAACUACCUGUAAUUUCCGCAAGUAUAAACCUUCAAGUAACAUUUUCCUUCCUUCUGCAAGGAUAAGAAGGACUUAUGAAGUAAAAUGUGGUAAUUUUAGAAGAUACAUGCACUCUUAAACCAGUUCUAUCUAUGGCUUGUCUUACGUGUAUUUUCAAUUUUAGUUGGAACUCCUGACAUUGGCAUUUCUUUUCAGUUCCUUACAGGAGGGCAGUGGCAUGGUCCUAUCUGAGGUGAGGGUCAUUUCCAACCCUGAGUGGGUGAGCUCAGGUGUUAAUGGCUAUAAUUAUUUCCUGGACAAAGAAGUUUUAUCUCUUGUUUUUUAAAUAUAAGUGAUGUUCCCUCUUUCUCAAGUUCAUAUUUCUAAAAGGUUAGAAAACAAAUUGUGAGUUCUAUAUAUGGGUCAGAACACAAGAGUAGUUUAAUAAUUUGACUGGAUAGACACUUAUUAGGAACCAUAAGAAUUAUCUCGGUGCAUAAAACAAACCAUUUGGAAAAUUUCUAACCCACAUUCUAAACCCGUUUAAAGUAGUUACUAGGUUGAUAAGGUUGCAGCAAACCUCUGUAUGUGAGGGUGCCAAAUACAUUAUUUUUCACGAAAGAGGUUACAGCAUCCUGGAGAAAAUACAGAAUUUCAGAAUGAAGCCUCUCACUAAUGAUGCCAGUUCACAGAACACAUCUGAAUAUUCACAACCAGUGACCAUCUGGAAAGCCAUACUGUCCAGUCUGACAAUUCUAUGGCUCUGGCUGCCCCAUUUCUCCCCACUGGAUAACACAUUUACAUGUGAGGGAAUGUUCCAUUUGGCCUUUUUCUUUGUUGUAUCAUCUCUGUUGUUUAGGUUAUGAUGUCAUUUGGCAGCAACCUUCAGCUGAUAGCUGGACAUGGUUAACACAGCUGGCCAAUUUCAUCUCAGAACAACACAACUAUGUAAAAUGGAGUCUGGGCUUUUCAAAAUCCAAGAGCAAGGAGUUGUAUGGCUGGAUUUUAUAUGAGAUUUAUCGAAAACUGUUAAAACUUUCUAAAAGAAAGGAGAUGAAGGUAAAGCCAAUUCUAUAAAACACCAAACUGCAAACAGAGCAGUUAGGAGCCAACUUUCUUCCUAAAAGAGCAGUAACAGAAUUUGUUUCCUAGCUUGUCAGCAUCUGACGAGAUGACCUGACAGAAAUGGUCUUUUUUCAACGGGAAACAUCUAAGGAGUUGGAAGAGGCAGACAGGAUGUAGCUCAGAGUUGGGGAAACAGCCAGACUCUGCUUGGAUGGGAUGCUGACACUAAAGAGAACGCAGAGAUACACAUGACUCUUUCAUCUACUUUCAACCAUGGAAGAGUCCAGCACAGACAGGUCAUGGUUGGCCUCCAGAGUUGCUAGAAGCUCUCAGCACUGGUCCUGGUCUGUGCCCACAACACAAGGGAGAGGAGGGUGUGGUGAACAAUCUUGUCACCUUGUUUGCUUUUCUUCUGUGGUGUUCCCUAAGAAGUCUGUGAAAACUCUACGGGAUGGGAGGGGGUCAGCAGAUAGUGAAAGCUGGAUGUAAGAUGAUGACAUCUGGAAAGAUAAAGAGGCUGCAAAUGGAAGACGAAAGCAACCAGGAUGCUCCAGUGAUCUGCCUUCAGAAAAUCUAAUAUGUAAAAAUCACAUCCCAAUUAAUAUUCUAAGAUUCACUUUCUCCCUCUACAUUUUAACAUCUCUGAAAUUGGAAUGCAUCUUACAAUUAAUGUGAUAAUAAAGAAUUGUGUCAGUAUAGUUGGCAGAAGUUGUUUGUUUUUGUAGUGGCACAUAAAAUAAUGGCUAC